GCUUGACCAAAACAACCCCGUUUGCAGCAUCUCAAUCUGAGUCAUUUGAUCUCAUUAAAUCCAACAGUUGGGAACUGGUUUGCUCGACAGUAUAAAACUGGCCGAAUGUUGACCCCCCUCCCCAACUCAUAUCUCUCAUUCCCUCACCAUCAGAGACCCUUCAUGGAACCCUAGCGCUGCCCCCAAAUCCUCCACCCUCUCCGGUGGCGGCGCCGCCUCUAAACCGUCCCAAAUCCACACCAUAUAACCCCCAACCCUUCUUCUUCCUAAAUCCUGGAACAUUUGCCCUCGAAUCACCCUAGGAUUCUUCGAAUCUUGAAUCAAAGUGUCGAACCCUAAAUUCCCAAAACCUCCAAAUCGAGAUUUCAGUGAAGGAUUAGGGUCUAGGUUGAUUUUAUUCAUGUGUUCUUAAUAAGAACACACGAUUAAUGUCAAACUCAGCCGAAAUUCAAAGAUUUGAAGAUUUUUCAAUUUCUACUGUCCAAGCCAUCUUUUAGGUAUUUUUCAUUGUUUUCUGUUCUUCACUUGUCAUUGUUAGUUCUCCUCCUAUCUUCUUCUUCUUCUUUCUUAUUAUUUUUUAAUUUUCUAGUUCUUCAAGUUACCUUGUAUGCAUGUUAAUUUUAGGUCUUUUUCUUUAAUUAGUGCGCUUUGUUUGUUGUGCGAAUGUGUUCAAAUGUAGUUCUGUUUCUAUUUUCUCUUUAGGACCAAGAUUUCACGAGUCCUUAGGACUCUGUAAGUGAAAAUUUGAGGGUUUUGAGCUUUUAAUUUUGAAUUGAGGCUCUGUUAGAGCAGAAGCCCAAGGAAAAGGGGUUCAAUCCGAUUUGUCUAGCCCAGUUUUAGAGUUUGAACCUUGGGUCAAUUUGACCCAUUUGGUUUCUGAAGUAAAUACAAGGGGUUUAAGGGUUAGUUUAGGAAAUUUAGGCUAGAGAAUCUAUUAUAACUGAUUGGGGAAACUUCUAGGAAGGUGGGUUUGGGGCUUUCUGAAAAGCUGAUUUUUAAACCAAGGACAUAAGAGCAAAAAUGAAAAUUUGAAAAGGGUAAAAGGGCAAUAAAUUAACUCAUUUCUGUUGCCCUAAGGCUUGCCUAUAAAAGCAUUGUUUCUUCACACACAAGGGAGAUUUUUUAGAAAUUCAGAGACUGAAAAUACUAAAAAAAAAAACUCUAGGAACAACUAAGCUUUUUCUAGACUCAAAAAUACUGAAAUUAGUUGAAGAAUUGGUUGGUUUUUGCUCCUCAAGUUCCUUGUUAGUCAAAUUUUUCGAAAGCUUUAAAAGUUGUAUUGAUUCUGGGUUCGAAGCUGUUUUAAAAGGCUGAGUAGUUGCUGAUUGCUUGGUUGCUUUUGUUGCUGAUACUCUGCUGCUGACCUCUUCUUAAUCUUGAGCUCAUUUCACUGAACUCCAUUGACAUAUUGAAUUGAAAGGGUUGAGGCUGUUUGAUUGAGCUGAAAAUCAAUGAUGUUUUGUUCAUUAGAUUUUUUUUCUGCAUUACAUUGGUUAUGUAAUUAACUAGUUAUCCUCAUGUGUAUGUUUGUUCUUGUCUAUUAUAGUUUUAAGUUCUGUUUAUAGUGUUGGACAAAUGCUUUCUUUUAUUUGUUUAGUUUAAAUGAGUUGAAGUUUCUGAUCAUAUGUGUGGAUGGUAGAGAAUCAGUGCAGUAGAAAUUUCAGCAGAAUUAAGCAUGUUUCAGAUCUGUUUUAGCCUACCGAAAUUAGUGUUAUGUGAAUUUGUUUAAGUUGAUAUUCAUAGGUUUGAAACCAGAAAUUUUCAAUUGGGGUUUAUCUCAGUGUUGUAUUCUGCUAUUUGGAAACCAUGUAGUACUUUACUUCAUGAAAUUAUUAAUUGAAUGGCUUCCAAGUUAGUAGUUAGCUUAUAGUCAUUUUGGAUAAGAAAAAUGGUCUGGUUGAUUACUUUAAGGGUCUAGCCCUGUGCAGAAUUGCUCCUGGUUAAUUUAUAAGCACGUUUAAGCUUAAAUUCUGAUUUAUUUACUUAACAAGCUUAUGAGUUUUUUGAUUUGCUAUUAUAUGUAUUGAAAAGAGGUUUAAUUAGAUUUGAAAUCUCGCACAAUUGUCUUUUUGAAUUAGCUGAGGAUUGAUUUAAAUAUGAUUCCUAUACAGUCGUGCAUUAUGGAAAAUCAAUCACUCGAUCUCGAGUCCUAUUUUUACCUUGCAUCAUCUUAAGAGAUUUUGUUUUGCCUUGGGGUCAGGAUUCUGAGGAGCUUGCAUUUACAGCCCUUUUGGGCCUGCGAUUCGAGCCCAUUUGCUUAUCCUCAACUUUGAUACGGGUGCUCAAAAUAGCGAUUGGGCCUGCUGUUAGUUUAGGCCCUUCCAAUAAUUGAAUGCUUGUUAUUUUAAUAUCAGCAUUUUAAAUGAACAAGUUUGGAUUGAACCAUUCGCUCGAAAUAAGAGUUCAAAUUCCAUUAGUGUUUAAUUAAUUAGAUUCCAUUAAAUAGAUUUGAGGUAUUCCAUAUUAAGUAAGAUCUAAUUUAUGUCCCUCAAAAGCUUAGUUUGAGUUUCCUUUAAAACCGGAAUCGAGGUGUGCCAUUUAGUUGAAUUUUCCAUGGCCCUCGCAAACUUGAAAGUGCGUAGUCGCUUUAGGCGCGUAAUUUAAAUUAACUUCCUUAAACUCGGGUGUGCAUUUCAUGUGACCCAAAUCCAAAUCUCAACAACGUUAAAUAAAAUGUGUCAGGGACCGCGGGUGCAUUUCAUGUAGCGUGGCUCAAGACGUGUUUUAGAUAACGUUGAAUCUUCCUAAAAUCAAUUAAAAGCGGCUAAUAAGUUAAAAAAGUACCAUAGGCUAAAACUUGUAUUAAAAUCGGAUAAUAGGCCAAUUUUAAUAGUUUAAGCGACCGUGCUAGAACCACGGAACCCGGGAAUGCCUAACAUCUUCUCCCGGGUUAACAGAAUUCCUUACUUAGAAUUUCUGGUUCGCAGACUUCAAAAGGAAAGUCGAUUUUCCUCGAUUUGGGAUUUUAAAAUAAACCGGUGACUUGGGACACCAAUUAAAAUAUUCCAAAUGACGACUCUGAAGAAUUAAAGUAAAUAAUCUCAUUUCGAUUAAUAUCACUUUAAUUGGAAAAACUCUCCAUAUACCCCCUCGGGUGGUAAAAAAGGAGGUGUGACAUCAGUCGUGUAUUUUCGUAUUCCAUAGUUAUUGUUGCUUUCGUUUUGGUUUUCUAAUUGCAUUACUUAGUGUUAGUUUAUAUUUUCGCUCCAGUUUUCCGAUUGGCUUGCUUGUUGUUGCCUUUUCCAUUUAUCUUUCUUAAGUCGAGGUCUAUCUACUUAGAUGUAGAGAUAAUGUAUGCAUACACACUACCCUCCCAGACUCUACUUGUGGGAUUAUACUGGGUUUGUUGCUGUGUGUUAUAUUAACAAUCAGAUUCAUAUUUUGAUAACUAUAAUGCCUAAAUCAAUAACUCUGGUAACAACACUGAUGAUCUGUUUCAGUUUCUUUCAGGGAAAAAGAAAGGUGUGGACUAGGCUUUUGAUGCCUAGCCACAUGUUACUAUACAUAGACAAGAAAAAUGUACUACCAAAGAUCCGAGUAAAAGUUGAUAUCAUCAUACCCAUAAACGUACAAAAUUGUUGAGAGCAUUGCACAUAAUUACCCAAGAACCAGUUCUACCACAUAACAAAAGGACCUAAAUUUCUAUCAUGAUUUUCUUCCUUUUUGUUAUGCACCAAAAAUCACAAAAGAAUCCUACUUUGGUCACCAAAUAUAGCAUUCUUUAUAACAAAUUAUUCCCACUCGAUUGUUGAUGGAGGCUUUGAUGUAAUAUCUAGAAGAACUCGAUUUACACCACGAACACUAUUGCAGAUCUUUCUUGAUACGUCGUCAAGAAACUUGAAAUCAAAGUAGUACCUAUAAAGAAAUUACAAUUUCAAAUAAAGAAACAGAUUUAGCACAGCUUAUAAAUAUAACAGCAUACAGAGGGGGGGUAUUCUAUUGACUCUUUCACAAGCAGAGAAGUUCCAAGAACAAUACACAAAGGUUUUCAUUGUUGGACUGUAGAAGAUGGAAUUGCUUCGACGGUUUGUUAAGUCUUGUCUUUUUAUUUCGCCAAUUACUACUAUUUCAGAUAUGUCAUGGUAUAGGAUUAUUUGGACUAUAAGCAGUGUUUGAUUGGUACGUAUUAAUCAAUACAUGAUUGAUUGAUAUGAGAAUAUCGGCAAACAAGAUUUGUCUAAGCCACUUUUUUUUUCUUUUUGCCCAAGUCACUAAUGUAGAUUUUUACUUAUUCUGCGAUGUAGGACAAACGGAGCUCUACUUGUUUUCUAACUAAAGGCAAACAGCCGGCAUGACAAGCAAAGAGAAAGGACAAGUGUUUGAAACACAUCAUACAUCCUUGAUAUCCAUUAAAGUGCAAAACCGAAACAGCAAAAACUUGUAGGUCAAUGAUGUCUAAGCGUAAAACUUGUACUUAUAAUUAAACAACAUGGAAAAUAUGAGCAUAGAAAAAUGGGCAGUAACUAGCAAAUUAUAGAAAACCAAAAAUAUGUGGGAACGA
rnacentral:lncRNA from 1 species